GACGAACGCUGGCGGCGUGCUUAACACAUGCAAGUCGAACGAUGAAGCUGGAGCUUGCUCUGGUGGAUUAGUGGCGAACGGGUGAGUAACACGUGAGUAACCUGCCCUGGACUCUGGGAUAACCCCGAGAAAUCGGAGCUAAUACCGGAUAGGACCUCGGAUCGCAUGAUCUGGGGUGGAAAGUUUUUCGGUCUGGGAUGGACUCACGGCCUAUCAGCGUGUUGGUGAGGUAAUGGCUCACCAAGUCGUCGACGGGUAGCCGGCCUGAGAGGGUGAGCGGCCACACUGGGACUGAGCAACGGUCCAGACUCCUACGGGAGGCAGCAGUGGGGAAUAUUGCACAAUGGGCGCAAGCCUGAUGCAGCAACGCCGCGUGCGGGAUGACGGCCUUCGGGUUGUAAACCGCUUUUAGUAAGGAAGAAGCCGCAAGGUGACGGUACUUGCAGAAAAAGGACCGGCUAACUACGUGCCAGCAGCCGCCGUAAGAC
rnacentral:rRNA from 1 species